AUAUAAAUAUAUAAUAAUAAGCUUGUACCGUAUCGGUGUGGGAUAAUUAGUGGAAAAAACAAAAAAUGGCAGAGGCGACUCCUGUAGUACUGGGACUCAUCAAAGAGCUAAGAAGCCACGAGGUUGCUAUUGCCGAACUCAAUCAUCUUUCUUCAUCCAGGGCUGUCUAUCAGAAAAAUGGGAACAUAUUUUUCCAAACGACUAUCCAGAAAGCUACAGCAUCUGAACAGAAACAACUUGAUUUGGCCAAAGCUAAGCUUGAAAAGCUGAAUUCUCCUUGAAGCAACUUGGCUGUACCAUGGCUUUGCUAGACCCAAACCUUUAUGGCAGGAAAAGCUCUGCAUUUAUAUGACAAGGCAUUCAACUGAGAUCAACCCCUUUUAGUGGUGUAAUAAUAGAAGUUAGAAUGGUCAUUAGAUUUCUAUAGAGCUAUAUCUUUACUGCAUUAACUAAACUGUCUGGGGCCUGAGCAUUCAUUGUCACACUUUUUAAUCAUUGAAUUUUCUUAUUGCCAUGGACCUUUCUCCGUAAUGAAUAUUUCUUUUUUGAGUUCA